AUUGAACGCUGGCGGCAGGCCUAACACAUGCAAGUCGAGCGGAUAAAGGGAGCUUGCUCCUGGAUUCAGCGGCGGACGGGUGAGUAAUGCCUAGGAAUCUGCCUGGUAGUGGGGGAUAACGUCAGGAAACGGGCGCUAAUACCGCAUACGUCCUGAGGGAGAAAGUGGGGGAUCUUCGGACCUCACGCUAUCAGAUGAGCCUAGGUCGGAUUAGCUAGUUGGUGGGGUAAAGGCCUACCAAGGCGACGAUCCGUAACUGGUCUGAGAGGAUGAUCAGUCACACUGGAACUGAGACACGGUCCAGACUCCUACGGGAGGCAGCAGUGGGGAAUAUUGGACAAUGGGCGAAAGCCUGAUCCAGCCAUGCCGCGUGUGUGAAGAAGGUCUUCGGAUUGUAAAGCACUUUAAGUUGGGAGGAAGGGCAGUAAGUUAAUACCUUGCUGUUUUGACGUUACCAACAGAAUAAGCACCGGCUAACUUCGUG
rnacentral:rRNA from 1 species